GAUGAACGCUGGCGGCGUGCCUAAUACAUGCAAGUCGAGCGAACGGACGAGAAGCUUGCUUUUCUGAUGUUAGCGGCGGACGGGUGAGUAACACGUGGAUAACCUACCUAUAAGACUGGGAUAACUUCGGGAAACCGGAGCUAAUACCGGAUAAUAUUUUGAACCGCAUGGUUCAAAAGUGAAAGACGGUCUUGCUGUCACUUAUAGAUGGAUCCGCGCUGCAUUAGCUAGUUGGUAAGGUAACGGCUUACCAAGGCAACGAUGCAUAGCCGACCUGAGAGGGUGAUCGGCCACACUGGAACUGAGACACGGUCCAGACCCCUACGGGAGGCAGCAGUAGGGAAUCUUCCGCAAUGGGCGAAAGCCUGACGGAGCAACGCCGCGUGAGUGAUGAAGGUCUUCGGAUCGUAAAACUCUGUUAUUAGGGAAGAACAUAUGUGUAAGUAACUGUGCACAUCUUGACGGUACCCAAUCAGAAAGCCACGGCUAACUACGUG
rnacentral:rRNA from 1 species